UUUGACAUCCCGAUCGCAUCUUGUGGAAACACGAGAGUCAGUUCGGCUGGAUCGGAGACAGGUGCUGCAUGGCUGUCGUCAGCUCGUGUCGUGAGAUGUUGGGUUAAGUCCCGCAACGAGCGCAACCCUUGUCCUUAGUUGCCAUCAUUUAGUUGGGCACUCUAAGGAGACUGCCGGUGUUAACCGGAGAAGUGGGGAUGACGUCAAGUCCUCAUGGCCCUUAUGUCCAGGGCUACACACGUGCUACAAUGGCCGGUACAAAGGGCAGCAAAGCCGCGAGGUGGAGCCAAUCCCAUAAAGCCGGUCUCAGUUCGGAUUGGAGUCUGCAACUCGACUCCAUGAAGUUGGAAUCGCUAGUAAUCGCGGAUCAGCAUGUCGCGGUGAAUACGUUCCCGGGUCUU
rnacentral:rRNA from 1 species